AGCGAACGCUGGCGGCAUGCCUAACACAUGCAAGUCGAACGAACCUUUCGGGGUUAGUGGCGGACGGGUGCGUAACACGUGGGAACGUGCCCUUAGGUUCGGAAUAACUCAGGGAAACUUGUGCUAAUACCGAAUGUGCUCUUCGGGGGAAAGAUUAAUCGCCUUUAGAGCGGCCCGCGUCUGAUUAGCUAGUUGGUUGAGGUAAUGGCUCACCAAGGCGACGAUCAGUAGCUGGUCUGAGAGGAUGAUCAGCCACAUUGGGACUGAGACACGGCCCAAACUCCUACGGGAGGCAGCAGUGGGGAAUAUUGCGCAAUGGGCGAAAGCCUGAUGCAGCCAUGCCGCGUGAAUGAUGAAGGUCUUAGGAUUGUAAAAUUCUUUUACCGGGGACGAUAAUGACGGUACCCGGAGAAGAAGCCCCGGCUAACUUCGUG
rnacentral:rRNA from 1 species